UGGGGAAUAUUGGACAAUGGGGGCAACCCUGAUCCAGCAAUGCCGCGUGUGUGAAGAAGGUCUUCGGAUUGUAAAGCACUUUCGACGGGGACGAUGAUGACGGUACCCGUAGAAGAAGCCCCGGCUAACUUCGUGCCAGCAGCCGCGGUAAUACGAAGGGGGCUAGCGUUGCUCGGAAUGACUGGGCGUAAAGGGCGUGUAGGCGGUUUACACAGUCAGAUGUGAAAUCCCCGGGCUUAACCUGGGAGCUGCAUUUGAUACGUGUAGACUAGAGUGUGAGAGAGGGUUGUGGAAUUCCCAGUGUAGAGGUGAAAUUCGUAGAUAUUGGGAAGAACACCGGUGGCGAAGGCGGCAACCUGGCUCAUGACUGACGCUGAGGCGCGAAAGCGUGGGGAGCAAACAGGUUAGAUACCCUGGUAGUCCACGCUGUAAACGAUGUGUGCUAGAUGUUGGGUAACUUUGUU
rnacentral:rRNA from 1 species